rnacentral:rRNA from 1 species
GACGAACGCUGGCGGCGUGCUUAACACAUGCAAGUCGAACGGAAAGGCCCUGCUUUUGUGGGGUGCUCGAGUGGCGAACGGGUGAGUAACACGUGAGUAACCUGCCCUUGACUUUGGGAUAACUUCAGGAAACUGGGGCUAAUACCGGAUAGGAGCUCCUGCUGCAUGGUGGGGGUUGGAAAGUUUCGGCGGUUGGGGAUGGACUCGCGGCUUAUCAGCUUGUUGGUGGGGUAGUGGCUUACCAAGGCCUUGACGGGUAGCCGGCCUGAGAGGGUGACCGGCCACAUUGGGACUGAGAUACGGCCCAGACUCCUACGGGAGGCAGCAGUGGGGAAUAUUGCACAAUGGGCGGAAGACUGAUGCAGCAACGCCGCGUGCGGGAUGACGGCCUUCGGGUUGUAAACCGCUUUCGCCUGUGACGAAGCGUGAGUGACGGUAAUGGGUAAAGAAGCACCGGCUAACUACGUG